rnacentral:rRNA from 1 species
UACGUAGGGUGCGAGCGUUAAUCGGAAUUACUGGGCGUAAAGCGUGCGCAGGCGGCUUCGCAAGUCAGACGUGAAAUCCCCGGGCUUAACCUGGGAAUGGCGUUCGAAACUACGGAGCUGGAGUGUGGCAGAGGGAGGUAGAAUUCCACGUGUAGCGGUGAAAUGCGUAGAUAUGUGGAGGAAUACCGAUGGCGAAGGCAGCCUCCUGGGCCAACACUGACGCUCAUGCACGAAAGCGUGGGGAGCAAACAGG